rnacentral:lncRNA from 1 species
AAUAUCUAGAAUAACCUUAAUUCAUUCAUCAUCCAUAUUCUCUUAAUUUCCUACUUUGAAGAAAAAUGUCUAGCUGCGGAUCAAAUUGUAGCUGUGGUUCUAACUGCAAGUGUGGCAACGGUGGAGGGUAAAACUUCUUAUUACAUAUCUCAGUCGCACAUCCAAACAUGUAGAAAUAUGUACAAGUUCUCAUUUUUUUUGGGGGCAUAUAAAUUCUCAACUCUAUCAACAAUAACAAUAAGUUGUUAUAGUUUUUGAUUGGGCUUAUAACAAGUGCAACAAGACAGCCUAGUGCCCCUAGCCCUUUGGGACAGUAAAUUGAGCAUUGAUCUCACGAUCUGAGUUGGGGAAGCAAUUAUCUAGUUUUUUCUUUUUUAAUAUUAAAAAUAUUAUUAUUCAGUUAAAAGCAUAGUUAUGUACGAAACAUGCACACAAAUUUCUUUCUUUUAUUUUCUUUCAAAAUCACUGAAAUGUUUGAGUGCAGAUGCGGGAUGCACCUUGAUAUAGAGACCACCACAACUGCCACCAUCAUCGUUGGGGUUGCACCAGCAAAGACGUAUGUAUAAUUCAUCCGAAAUAAGCUUUAAUUUCUUAUCUUUGAAUCAGUACUCUAAUUAAAAAAAUAUAUGUAUAUACAUUAAACUCUGGCGAAUGUUACAGUUACUUUGAUGGGUCUGAGAAGAACUUUGGAGCUGAAGGAGGGCAUGCCUGCAAGUGUGGAUCAAACUGCAACUGUGAUCCAUGCAAUUGCUGAUCAUCACCAAACGUACCGAUGGAUGAUGGGAUACCAAAUGAAGCAGCUUGUGUUUGUGUCGUUAUGUUUUAUCUAAAUAAAGGAAUAUGAUGAAGCUUAAUAAGACA